rnacentral:piRNA from 1 species
UAAGUUGGUUGUUGUUCUGUCAUGCACUGA